rnacentral:lncRNA from 1 species
UAUUAUCCUCCCACUAGUCCUUCAAUGAUAAACACCUUUAUCUUAGAAGGAAGCGUGUUUCGCAACAAACACCUUUUUGCUAAGUAGGAUUAUAGAACAUAUACCCUAAACUUACUUUAGGAUGUCCCACAAAUUUGUACUUAUCAAAUAUUGUCCCAAGCUUAUCCUUUGAAACCUUUUCACAUAAGUUGGACAACCCCUUAUCUUAACAUACUUAAGAUUA